rnacentral:lncRNA from 1 species
UUUAAGAUUCUCCUUCACAGAAUGAGGUUUUCCUUCCGUCUGCUUUGUUAAAGAUAAAAAGAAGAAAUACCUGAACCAGCAUUGACUUCCAGUUUCCAAGGCACCCAUAUUUCCUAAGCUUGAUUCCUCCGUGGCUUUGCUGAUGGACAGCCUGGAGAUGACUUCCAGGAGGAGUUGACAGUCUUGGAGAGAUUGUUAGCGCAAACACUGUUUACCUAGGGAGUCAGAAUGUGACAUGUAAAGUAAUGUGUCCCUGGGAAAAUGGAAAAUGCCAGGUAAUUGAUGAAAUAAUGACUCAAAAUACUGAUGAUAAAAAGUCGCCCCCAGAGUGUCCCGGAGGCUUCUGGGAACAGGAUCUGUACAGAUUCUUCGACUCUGUAAGGAAACCCAGUUUGUCCAGAAAGUAAAUCUGAGGUUUUGCAUUUAUGAACUUCCGAUAAAAGGAAACACAAGUAAACAGAAGGAAAAGUCUUACAGAUAACCCAUUUAAGAGAAUUAAACAGUGUCACUUUUUAAAGCAUAUGGGUUUAUGACAUGCAAAGCGGGCCCUCCAACGGUUCUUAAUCCAAGCCAAUGAAAAUACCAGUUCACCUUGAAUGUAUUUUCAUGGCGAUUGUUCAAAUGAGGACCAGGCAUUGCUACUUACCAAGUUGUACUACAAAACAAAAACAAACAAACAACAAACAGAUCUGAACAUAGCUAUGGACAGCCCCGUGAAGCCACCUGGAGAUCAGCAGUGGAUAAAUACAGGAUGAUUGCAGUGUGGAUGCCAAGAGCCACAAUAAAGACACACUGUGGCCCCAGUGUCUUAGCAGAGCUAGAGUGUCAAGUCUACUGGUUCUGUGGAAGUUUCUUAGGGAAGGUCCUGCUGUUGUCAUCCUUGGUGUUUCACAACCUGUGAGCACCGGGGCCUGCUAACACCUUCUGUGGGAACACAGACCUGAAUUUCCCUCUACUUUUUGUGGUGACAUUAGACACGUGGUUUGACUUCAGGAGGCCCAAAGAGUGAAAAGUUAGGCUUAGUUUGUGUUUCUCAACAUUUUAUAACCAGACUCCCUUUUUGAGGGGGGGAAGGGGGGAGGGUCCCAUUCUCUUUAUCCCUCAAAAGAACUAUCUUUACUAAACCCCUCCCUCUCCCGCAAGGUUCAGGGGUCUCUCGGGAGGAGGCAAUGGGAAGAAUGUAAGAGCCAGAGGUGGUGAGUGAUGGUAAGGAAGCAGCAUCCCCAGGCACUGGAGAUUGCACAUGUGAACUCACAGACUGAGGUAAUACACCCAAGACCCACAGGGGUUCUAACCAGAUAAAAUCCCUGCUGAAAAGGGCAGCUGACACACAGGCCACCUCUAACCCGGAAGCUCUUUGCCUCUGAUACCUGCUGGGAAGGGGAAAAUCUGUUUCCUCUGAUGCACAUCUGUGUACUUCACAGUCCAGGUGAUGCCCCAUGUCCCUAUGUCAGUGGCCAGCACAAAAUGGACUCCAUGGAAUGGAGUCUGGUUGUGGUCUUUCGCCUAAUUUAUUUUGAAGUCUGUUUUGCUGCUUUUCCUUUUGAGAGAGAGGAGGAGAGAGAAAGAACAUAAUGUUGGGUACUUAGGGAGCUGAGGAAGGAUUGACAGGAAAAUAUGAUGAAAAUAUAUUGUCUGAAAAAUCCUUUAUUAAAAUUUUAACAAAUUCCAUUCCAAUCUCAUUUCCUCCUGUCUUUCAGGAUUUCUGUUUCUCCCAGUGGAUGUAUUUGUAAUAUCUGGUGCUCCAGCCCACCAUGAGUUAAAGGUUUUAUUCUUUGCCAUAGCUCAUAGCUUGCUCCACUUUAAUGCUGGCACGGGCCUUCCUGGUUUGACCCCACAACCUAAGAGCAAAGGCGGAGGCUUGUUGGAUUGCCCUGGGAGACAUCGCUGAGCCAAACCUUAGAUCCUACCUGCUCCUGUGUUGUAGGCACUUAAGAUUAAGAAGUGUUUGCAGAGCAUUGGUUUUGAACCUGUAGGUAGCUGUUACGAGGGGUGUCAGGUGAACUCAGUAAGUCACUACCAACAUAUCUUAAAAUAAUAAUAAUAAUAAUAAUAAUGAACAACUAGAAAAUAUUUACCGUAUUACAAAAGGUCAAGAAAUUAUCCCACCAAAAAUUGUUUCAGUUUUACAUGCCUGCGUCUCUGUGUGUUUACAGGGUGGAGUUCAGACAAGAACUAAAUUUCUAAGGCAGAUCCAAAGGGGAAAGUUUUGUUUUGUUUUGUUUUGUUUCAACUAAAGCUGUAGUUGUAGGCAGUACUAACUGAGAGAGGCUGUCCACUCCUUAGACUGUUUAGACGCCUGCGCAGGGCAGCACCACCCCAGUCAGAGUCUCUCACAGUCAUCCCCAUGUAUCGUGUGUAACCAGCUGCAUCAUUCCAGAGAGGAAGGACCAAAUAGCAACUUUACCAGAGCAGGGUCACAGGGGCCCACAGUCUUGAGUGCUUGGCUCAGUACCCAGAAGU